UGAUCGCUCACCUCUUCUCUUCGUGUGUGUGUGUGUGUGUACCCACAGCUGUGUGAGUUAAACUGCAUGUGUGUACCAGUGUGUGUCUGGUACACUCCUCACGGGACUCACUCUAGUGUGUGUGUGUGUGUGUGUGUGUGUGUGUCAGUCGUUGAUUGAGUUAAAUACAAAGAGCCUCUAGGGAGCAGAAUAGAAGCCUCUCUCCAUUUGUCUCUACGCCUAAUGCUUUCAACAAAAACAGCGGGGAUUAAGGAGCAGCUGAAUGAACCAGAGGUAACUCAUAUCCGGGUUUUAGGACUACAAGCUGGCGAGCUCUAUAAUGCAUGGUACCUAACAGCAGCAGGCACAACACAGCAUGACUUACUGGCCCUUCUAUUACAUCCCUGUCAUCAUGCAUCUUUAACACGCAGGGAUUCAACCAGCACAAUCCAACACCCUCCACCCUGACCACUCCAAGGCAGCUCCUGCGCGUCAAUAAGAGACUGAAGAGGCUGAAAGACACUGCCUGAAGCCAGAAUAAUAAAUCAUAGUCAUUCUAAAUAAAUCAAUGGAACGACAACAGCAGCAGAGUCACAGGUGAAGUGCGUUGACCUCAUGGUGGUAACUGAUUAGAUGGGGGUCAAUGUGUGAUCAGGGGAGGACAGGGUUGAACCUUGUCAGUGUGUGAGGGUUAGGUCCAGACAGUGUGUCGUGUAAUGGUUACGCAGUGGACAGGCUGCCCAUCAAGCCACUGGCGGAAGGAAUCAAUGACAGUGAGUGGUCAACAGACUGGACCCCGAUCUCCAUGUUAUUUUGCCCAAAAAUGUAGUAGUGAAGUGUUGGCUUGGCUUUUACAGAUCUGGGAUAAGGCAAGCUUUACAAUACAGCUCUCAGAUGAAAAAAAAUCAUUUAAAAAAAGGGACAAAAGCCUACUAAAAACCAUAGGACCUGGUGAGUUAUGUAUGUUUUAAGACAAUAGCUUGUACAUACAUCAGUGCACCAUCACUGAAUUAUUCCAAUUUGAUCAUGCAUAAAAACACGACUUGCUUGGAUGAGCAUUAGGCUUUCACCCCUGUCACCCUCCUCAUCAUUCUCCUCUUUCCCUUUCACCCCUGUCACCCUCCUCAUCAUUCUCCUCUUUCCACCCACAGUGCUGCAUUGCCUCCUCAAGGGAAAUCAUGAGGAGACAGAAAUGUGUGUACGGCCACACACGCACGCGAACAAAAACACACACGCGUGCUUCUCUCUCGCUCUAGCUUCACGUCCCCAUUAGCGCACUGCUAAUGUGUGAACAGCAUGUCUAUAGCCAUAGUGGUCCACCGAGGCCAACUUCAUGUCCAGUGCUGUAGGUCUCUUAGGGAGAGACCUCUACCCACACAGUGAGACAGACAGAUUCCAUGUCAGUGCCUAACAAAAACUAAAAUGUUUGCAUUAGUCAGCCAUUUGUGGUGUCAGGAGAGUCAUACCGUGCCUAUAGAAAACCUACACCUACUUCAGCUUUUUUUUCUCCACAGUUUGUUGCGUUACAAAGUGAGACUUAAAUGUAUUUCAAUUGUAAUGUUUAGUCAUUGACCUACACAAAACACUCUUAAUGUGAAGGUGAAAAGAAAAUGACUUCCUCGCCAAAUUAACACAAAUUAAAUAACUCAAAUACAGUCAUUGCAUACCUAUUCACUCUGUUAAGGCGAGCCUAAAUGAGUUCAGGAGUAGCGCGUUGCUUAACAAAUCACAUAAUAAAGGUUCUGAAUGACUAACCCCUUCCUCUGUCCCCCCCAAACACAUUUCUCAAAGGCCUCAAAAAGACGGGCAGUGAUCGGUAGAUGGAUACCAAUAACAAAAAUCAGACAUUGAAUAUCUCUAAGCAUGGUGCAAUUAAGCACAAUUACGCUGUGGAUGAUGCAUUCAACCACCCAGACCCCUCAAAGAUGCAGUCAUCCUUCUGAACGGAGCUGCAGGACAGGAUGGUAACUGUUGAGGAAUGUCACUAUGAGGCCAUUGGGGAUUUUAAAAACAGCUACAGUUCAAUGGCUGUGAUAGGAGAAAACGGAGGAUGCCGUUUUCUGCAUAACACUGUUCAGGGGCAGAACAACAGAUACCUUGUCAGCUCGGGGAUUUGAACUUGCAACCUUCCGGUUACUAGUCCAACGCUCUAACCACUAGGCUACCCUGCCGCCCCAACAACUUUGGCCUAAAUGCUAAGCCUUAUGUUUGAGGUAAAUCCAACAACACAUCACUGAGUAACUGCCUCCUUAUUUUCAAACGUGGUGGUGGCUGCAUCAUGGUAUGGGUAUGCUUGGCAUUGGCAAAGACUGGAGUUUUUCAGGAUGAAAAGAAACGUGAUGGAGCUAAGCACAGGCAAAACCUGCUGCAGUCUGCUUAACACCAGCGACUGGGAGAAGAAUUCACCUUUCAGCUGGACAAUAACUUACAACACAAAGCCAAAUCUACACUAGAGUUUCUUACCAAGAAAACAGUGAAUGUGAGUGGCCAGUUUUCAUCCCACUUAUAACACAAUAAAAUGUGAAGAAAUCCAAGGGAGGUGUUGACUUUCUAUAGGAACUGUACGCACACAGACGGUGACAAUCAGAACUAAUGGAGACUGAAAUAGCUGAUUUUUAGACAGCUCUGCGGUUGCAUGCAUCACCAUACCAAAGUAUUUCGGGACAGAAAU